rnacentral:lncRNA from 10 species
GAGGGUUCAGAGGAGACUGACUAAAGUUUGGUUGACGACGGAGUCCUUGUCACAGCAAAGAAUCAUCCUGCCCUUGUCUAUUCUUGGGUAAAACCCACCCCAGCCUUCCUCAUGGCUCCUGUAAGACUGGCAAAUGCUGAACUUGCUUAUCUGCCUCCAUGAAGCCCUACAUUCCUUUCAUUGUCUGAGAUCUUCCUCAUUAAUAAGUAUUCUCCUUAUCCCAACAACCUGAGUAAAGUCAUCUCCUUGGUUGACUGGUGCAAUUUGUCUUUCACAGUUUUGGUGCUGUGUUUCAGGCAGGAGCAGAAUCCUCACCUUUGGAACCCUGUUCACUCCACCCAGAGAGAAAUAAAAGGAGUGAUACAUACAGCAUCUUCAAC